rnacentral:rRNA from 1 species
AUUGAACGCUGGCGGCAGGCCUAACACAUGCAAGUCGAGCGGAUGAAGGGAGCUUGCUCCUGGAUUCAGCGGCGGACGGGUGAGUAAUGCCUAGGAAUCUGCCUGGUAGUGGGGGAUAACGUCCGGAAACGGGCGCUAAUACCGCAUACGUCCUGAGGGAGAAAGUGGGGGAUCUUCGGACCUCACGCUAUCAGAUGAGCCUAGGUCGGAUUAGCUAGUUGGUGGGGUAAAGGCCUACCAAGGCGACGAUCCGUAACUGGUCUGAGAGGAUGAUCAGUCACACUGGAACUGAGACACGGUCCAGACUCCUACGGGAGGCAGCAGUGGGGAAUAUUGGAAAAUGGGCGAAAGCCUGAUCCAGCCAUGCCGCGUGUGUGAAGAAGGUCUUCGGAUUGUAAAGCACUUUAAGUUGGGAGGAAGGGCAGUAAGUUAAUACCUUGCUGUUUUGACGUUACCAACAGAAUAAGCACCGGCUAACUUCGUG